rnacentral:rRNA from 1 species
UGUCAAGUCCUCAUGGCCCUUAUGGGUAGGGCUUCACACGUCAUACAAUGGCCGGUACAGAGGGUUGCCAACCCGCGAGGGGGAGCCAAUCCCAGAAAGCCGGUCGUAGUCCGGAUUGCAGUCUGCAACUCGACUGCAUGAAGUCGGAAUCGCUAGUAAUCGCGGAUCAGCAUGUCGCGGUGAAUACGUUCCCGGGUCUU